rnacentral:rRNA from 1 species
UAGCAUAUCAAUAAGCGGAGGAAAAGAAACCAACAGGGAUUGCCUCAGUAACGGCGAGUGAAGCGGCAACAGCUCAAAUUUGAAAUCUGGCCUCGGCCCGAGUUGUAAUUUGUAGAGGAAGCUUUGGGUGCGGCACCGACCGAGUCCCCUGGAACGGGGCGCCAUAGAGGGUGAGAGCCCCGUAUGGUUGGACGCCUAUCCUGUGUAAAGCUCCUUCGACGAGUCGAGUAGUUUGGGAAUGCUGCUCAAAAUGGGAGGUAAAUUUCUUCUAAAGCUAAAUAUUGGCCAGAGACCGAUAGCGCACAAGUAGAGUGAUCGAAAGAUGAAAAGCACUUUGAAAAGAGGGUUAAAUAGCACGUGAAAUUGUUGAAAGGGAAGCGCUUGUGACCAGACUUGCGCCUCGUCGAUCAUCCGGGGUUCUCCCCGGUGCACUCGGCGGGGCUCAGGCCAGCAUCGGUUUUCGCGGGGGGACAAAGGUCCCGGGAACGUAGCUCCUCCGGGAGUGUUAUAGCCCGGGGCGUAAUGCCCUCGCGGGGACCGAGGACCGCGCUUCGGCAAGGAUGCUGGCGUAAUGGUCAUCAGCGACCCGUCUUGAAACACGGACCAAGGAGUCAAGGUUUUGCGCGAGUGUUUGGGUGUAAAACCCGCACGCGUAAUGAAAGUGAACGUAGGUGAGAGCUUCGGCGCAUCAUCGACCGAUCCUGAUGUAUUCGGAUGGAUUUGAGUAGGAGCGUUAAGCCUUGGACCCGAAAGAUGGUGAACUAUGCUUGGAUAGGGUGAAGCCAGAGGAAACUCUGGUGGAGGCUCGCAGCGGUUCUGACGUGCAAAUCGAUCGUCAAAUCUGAGCAUGGGGCGAAAGACUAAUCGA